UUAAGCGACUAAGCGUACACGGUGGAUGCCCUGGCAGUCAGAGGCGAUGAAGGACGUGCUAAUCUGCGAUAAGCGUCGGUAAGGUGAUAUGAACCGUUAUAACCGGCGAUUUCCGAAUGGGGAAACCCAGUGUGAUUCGUCACACUAUCAUUAACUGAAUCCAUAGGUUAAUGAGGCGAACCGGGGGAACUGAAACAUCUAAGUACCCCGAGGAAAAGAAAUCAACCGAGAUUCCCCCAGUAGCGGCGAGCGAACGGGGAGCAGCCCAGAGCCUGAAUCAGUGUGUGUGUUAGUGGAAGCGUCUGGAAAGGCGCGCGAUACAGGGUGACAGCCCCGUACACAAAAAUGCACAUGCUGUGAGCUCGAUGAGUAGGGCGGGACACGUGGUAUCCUGUCUGAAUAUGGGGGGACCAUCCUCCAAGGCUAAAUACUCCUGACUGACCGAUAGUGAACCAGUACCGUGAGGGAAAGGCGAAAAGAACCCCGGCGAGGGGAGUGAAAAAGAACCUGAAACCGUGUACGUACAAGCAGUGGGAGCACGCUUAGGCGUGUGACUGCGUACCUUUUGUAUAAUGGGUCAGCGACUUAUAUUCUGUAGCAAGGUUAACCGAAUAGGGGAGCCGAAGGGAAACCGAGUCUUAACUGGGCGUUAAGUUGCAGGGUAUAGACCCGAAACCCGGUGAUCUAGCCAUGGGCAGGUUGAAGGUUGGGUAACACUAACUGGAGGACCGAACCGACUAAUGUUGAAAAAUUAGCGGAUGACUUGUGGCUGGGGGUGAAAGGCCAAUCAAACCGGGAGAUAGCUGGUUCUCCCCGAAAGCUAUUUAGGUAGCGCCUCGUGAAUUCAUCUCCGGGGGUAGAGCACUGUUUCGGCAAGGGGGUCAUCCCGACUUACCAACCCGAUGCAAACUGCGAAUACCGGAGAAUGUUAUCACGGGAGACACACGGCGGGUGCUAACGUCCGUCGUGAAGAGGGAAACAACCCAGACCGCCAGCUAAGGUCCCAAAGUCAUGGUUAAGUGGGAAACGAUGUGGGAAGGCCCAGACAGCCAGGAUGUUGGCUUAGAAGCAGCCAUCAUUUAAAGAAAGCGUAAUAGCUCACUGGUCGAGUCGGCCUGCGCGGAAGAUGUAACGGGGCUAAACCAUGCACCGAAGCUGCGGCAGCGACGCUGAUGCGUUGUUGGGUAGGGGAGCGUUCUGUAAGCCUGCGAAGGUGUGCUGUGAGGCAUGCUGGAGGUAUCAGAAGUGCGAAUGCUGACAUAAGUAACGAUAAAGCGGGUGAAAAGCCCGCUCGCCGGAAGACCAAGGGUUCCUGUCCAACGUUAAUCGGGGCAGGGUGAGUCGACCCCUAAGGCGAGGCCGAAAGGCGUAGUCGAUGGGAAACAGGUUAAUAUUCCUGUACUUGGUGUUACUGCGAAGGGGGGACGGAGAAGGCUAUGUUGGCCGGGCGACGGUUGUCCCGGUUUAAGCGUGUAGGCUGGUUUUCCAGGCAAAUCCGGAAAAUCAAGGCUGAGGCGUGAUGACGAGGCACUACGGUGCUGAAGCAACAAAUGCCCUGCUUCCAGGAAAAGCCUCUAAGCAUCAGGUAACAUCAAAUCGUACCCCAAACCGACACAGGUGGUCAGGUAGAGAAUACCAAGGCGCUUGAGAGAACUCGGGUGAAGGAACUAGGCAAAAUGGUGCCGUAACUUCGGGAGAAGGCACGCUGAUAUGUAGGUGAAGUCCCUCGCGGAUGGAGCUGAAAUCAGUCGAAGAUACCAGCUGGCUGCAACUGUUUAUUAAAAACACAGCACUGUGCAAACACGAAAGUGGACGUAUACGGUGUGACGCCUGCCCGGUGCCGGAAGGUUAAUUGAUGGGGUCAGCGCAAGCGAAGCUCUUGAUCGAAGCCCCGGUAAACGGCGGCCGUAACUAUAACGGUCCUAAGGUAGCGAAAUUCCUUGUCGGGUAAGUUCCGACCUGCACGAAUGGCGUAAUGAUGGCCAGGCUGUCUCCACCCGAGACUCAGUGAAAUUGAACUCGCUGUGAAGAUGCAGUGUACCCGCGGCAAGACGGAAAGACCCCGUGAACCUUUACUAUAGCUUGACACUGAACAUUGAGCCUUGAUGUGUAG
rnacentral:rRNA from 1 species